rnacentral:lncRNA from 1 species
GGAGUGCUGCGACUCGGAGAACUCGAUGUCGGCGAAGAAGAGGGCGGAGGAGGAGUCGGAGUCGGGGUUGUUGGCGAGGAAGGAGGCGGAGAGCAGCGCGAACUCGCGGCGGAGCUGGGGGAGGUGGAGGUCGGACUUGGAGUGGAGCGAGGCGGCGUCGAAGAAGAGGAGCACGGAGUAGGGCCGCGGGGCCGGGGAGGAGAGGAAGCGGGUGACGGAGGUGUCGGUGAGGUGGAUCACGCCGGAUGGGGAGCGGGAGCGGAGGGACUGCAGCUCGCCGACCAGGUCGUUGGCGCCGGCGGUGUGGGCGGCUGCCGCGGCGAGGAGGACGAGGAGGAGGAGGGGAAGGGAG